rnacentral:lncRNA from 1 species
UGUUAUGCUCCAUCAAGAAUUACCGAGCUAAGAGCUCUCGACACAGGUAGUGUUAAUAUACUCAAUCUUCUGCCAGGAGAAAAUUUUUUGAGAAAUUACAUAAGAAGUAUUUUUACCUCUAGAUUUAUUAAAUAAAAUAAAUAAAUGUGGCUUAGUUGGUAGGGGGUAGGUUAGUAUGCACAAGGCCUUGGGUUAUCAAUCAUCCUCAGCACAUUAGCUAGGCAUGGUAGUGUAUGCCUGAAAUCUCCGCACCUGGGAGGUAAUGUGGAUCAGAAGUUCAAGGUCACCCUGGGCUACGUAGCACAUUUGAGGCCAACCUGCGAUACCUGAGCCACAUCUCAAAAGAAAAACGUACUUAACAAGUAGAGCAGGAUAUCAGAAGCAAUCUACCCUAUUACCUCAGGCCCAGAGGUAAAAGCAAGAACACAAUACAACCAUCUUUCAAUUGACAGGAUUAUCCACCCAGUGAAUUAGCUAAGCCUGAGUUGGCAAAUAAGUUCAUUUUGCCUGCCAAGCCUUAUAAAGUGCCAAAACCUGCCUUGUUUAGAUUCAGAAAGAAGGAGGGUCAACUGUAUUAGAAAUGCCUACAACAGGUUUGUGAGCAGGAAAAUUUCUGUCUCUCCCGAUUGCCAUUAACUUCCUUCCCCCAUCUGAUCUUUUAUUUACUGUUUUUCAGCAAUCCAAAAGAUAAUUAACAGACUGAUACUGGGCCGGGCAGUGGCCUCAGUGAACAAAGCCUUUGCCACACAAGCCUGUGGACCUGAGUUCAGAGCUCUAGAAUCCAUGGAGGCCGGAUGCAGUGGCACCAAUCUGUAACCUCGGUGCUCUCAAGACUGGAUGCAGACACAGAAGAAACAUAUGGGCUGGUGAGAUGGCUCAGUGGGUAAGAGCACCCGACUGCUCUUCUGAAGGUCAGGAGUUCAAAUCCCAGCAACCACAUGGUGGCUCACAACCACCCGUAACGAGAUCUGACUCCCUCUUCUGGUGUGUCUGAAGACAACUACAGUGUACUUACAUAUAAUAAAUAAAUAAAUCUUUAAAAAAAAAAAAAAAAAAAAAAAAGAAGAAACAUAUAGGCCUGGCAGAUGCAGAAGUGAACAGGAAAUCCUUUCUUUUUUUCUUUUAACUCACAAAGAUUAUUUCUUUUUAUUUAUCUAUUUUUUCUUUUUAUUACACUCCAGAUUUUAUUCCCCUUCUGGUCCACUCUCCAACUGUUCCACACCCAUACCUCCUCCCUGCUCCCCUGUCUCCGCGAGGAUGUCCCCACCCCUCCCACCUCUGCCCCACCAGACCUCUAAACUCCCUGGGGCCUCCAGUCAUUUGAGGGUUAGGUGCAUCAUCUCUGACUGACUCUAAGGAAAUUGUUUCUUAAGGAAGAAGGCAAGGACACACAUGCAGAUUCAUCACCCUAUACAUAUUAUGACAUCUAGCCACAGAAGGUCUAAUCCAAAACCAAAAAAAUAAA